AGUGAACGCUGGCGGUAGGCCUAACACAUGCAAGUCGAACGGCAGCACAGUAAGAGCUUGCUCUUACGGGUGGCGAGUGGCGGACGGGUGAGGAAUACAUCGGAAUCUACUUUUUCGUGGGGGAUAACGUAGGGAAACUUACGCUAAUACCGCAUACGACCUACGGGUGAAAGCAGGGGAUCUUCGGACCUUGCGCGAUUGAAUGAGCCGAUGUCGGAUUAGCUAGUUGGCGGGGUAAAGGCCCACCAAGGCGACGAUCCGUAGCUGGUCUGAGAGGAUGAUCAGCCCCCCGUGGACCUGAGACAGGGCCCGAACCCCUACGGGAGGCACAAGGGGGGAAUUUGGGAAACGGGGGGAAACCCUAUCCCAGCCAUCCCGCGUGGGUGAAGAAGGCCUUCGGUUUGCAAACCCCUUUUUUUGGGAAAAAAAAGCAGCAGGUUAAUACCCCGCUGUUCGGACGGGACCAAAAGAAUAAGCCCCGGCUAACUGCGG
rnacentral:rRNA from 1 species